UGGUUCUGGCAUCGAUGAAGAACGCAGCGAAAUGCGAUAAGUAAUGUGAAUUGCAGAAUUCAGUGAAUCAUCGAAUCUUUGAACGCACAUUGCGCCCCCUGGCAUUCCGGAGGGCAUGCCUGUUCGAGCGUCAUUUCGUCCUUCAAGCCCCCGCUUGGUGUUGGGCGCAGGCCUUUUAUCCAAAAGCCCGCCCGCAACUCUUCGGCGGCAGGCACCGUCCCCGAGCGUAGCAGAUUUUACUCGCUCCGGUCAACGGCCGCCCGCCCGCCGGCGAAAAUAAAAACUCCUGAAGUUUGACCUCGGAUCAGGUAGGGAUACCCGCUGA
rnacentral:misc_RNA from 1 species